CCUACGGGUGGCAGCAGUGAGGAAUAUUGGUCAAUGGCCGGAAGGCUGAACCAGCCAUGCCGCGUGAAGGUCAGUGCCCUAUGGGCGUUAAACUUCUUUUGUGCGGGAGCAAUAAUGGUCACGUGUGGCCAGACGAGAGUACCGUACGAAUAAGCAUCGGCUAACUCCGUGCCAGCAGCCGCGGUAAUACGGGGGAUGCAAGCGUUAUCCGGAUUUAUUGGGUUUAAAGGGUGCGUAGGCUGUGAGGUAAGUCAGCGGUGAAAUGCCCCCGCUCAACGGGGUGAAGUGCCAUUGAUACUGCCUUGCUGGAAUGCGGAUGCCGUGGGAGGAAUGUGUGGUGUAGCGGUGAAAUGCAUAGAUAUCAGGAGGAAUACCGUUAGCGAAGGCGGCAAUCUGGCUGGAAACUGACGCUGAGGUGCGAAAGCGUGGGUAGCAAACAGGAUUAGAUACCCCUGUAGUC
rnacentral:rRNA from 1 species